rnacentral:rRNA from 1 species
GAUGAACGCUGGCGGCGUGCCUAAUACAUGCAAGUCGAGCGAACAGACGAGGAGCUUGCCCCUCUGACGUUAGCGGCGGACGGGUGAGUAACACGUGGAUAACCUACCUAUAAGACUGGGAUAACUUCGGGAAACCGGAGCUAAUACCGGAUAAUAUAUUGAACCGCAUGGUUCAAUAGUGAAAGACGGUUUUGCUGUCACUUAUAGAUGGAUCCGCGCCGCAUUAGCUAGUUGGUAAGGUAACAGCUUACCAAGGCAACGAUGCGUAGCCGACCUGAGAGGGUGAUCGGCCACACUGGAACUGAGACACGGUCCAGACUCCUACGGGAGGCAGCAGUAGGGAAUCUUCCGCAAUGGGCGAAAGCCUGACGGAGCAACGCCGCGUGAGUGAUGAAGGUCUUCGGAUCGUAAAACUCUGUUAUUAGGGAAGAACAAAUGUGUAAGUAACUAUGCACGUCUUGACGGUACCUAAUCAGAAAGCCACGGCUAACUACGUG